CACGGGUGCGUAACACGUGGGUAACCUGCCCUUUGGUGGGGAAUAACCUCGCGAAAGCGAGGCUAAUUCCGCAUAAGAUCCGCAAGGAUGAAAGCCGCAAGGCGCCGAAGGAGGGGCCCGCGCACGAUUAGUUAGUUGGUAGGGUAACGGCCUACCAAGACUAUGAUCGUUAGCUGGUCUGAGAGGAUGGCCAGCCACACUGGAACUGAGACACGGUCCAGACUCCUACGGGAGGCAGCAGUGGGGAAUCUUGCGCAAUGGGCGAAAGCCUGACGCACCGACGCCGCGUGGGGGAUGAAGCUUCUCGGAGUGUAAACCCCUUUCGACUGGGACGAAUACC
rnacentral:rRNA from 1 species